rnacentral:lncRNA from 1 species
GGGGAGAGACUGCAGAGGCCGGUUGACUCGUGCUGAAGGAGAAAGGCAACAAAAAAUAAAAAAGGAACAGAUGACUUCAUUCUCGGGAAGGCUCCGUCCUACGUGGACCAAUUUCCUGGGGACUGUGGUGGAACAGCUCGGCUGCCGUUGGAAGCACUUAAAACUAAACCAGAUAAAGACCAGAAAAUUCUCAGCAUUGCCUGAGCCGAGCAAGGGCAGACACCCGCAGGGACAAACUCGGCAGAGGCUGGGGAACGAAAGCCAGUGGCUGGACUGGGAGCCUUGGAACAGGGUGAGGCUCAGCUGGAGGCCCAGCAAGGGAAGAUGAACUCGGCAGGUCUAAGCUCUGGCUGGCCUGGCUCCUGCUUACCCCACUGGAGCCUUCAACUGGGGGGUUUGUGGGAGGUGUGUCCACGGGGAUCUGAUGGGCCUGAAGGAUGCCCCCACCCCCAAGCCCCUGCUGGCAUGCUAAUCUCAUCCUGCUAAUUAAAGUUUGCAGUUCUGUCCCUAACUCAACUCCCCACUCUUGAACAUUAUUAACUGAAAGGCAAACAAUUGCUGUUCCAGACAGAAACCAGAGGAAAAAGGCCUCUGCAGUUCACAUUCUAAAAAGGAUUAAAAAAAAAAAAAAAAAAAAGAUGUUUAUACUUACCAGCAAAUGACUCCUAAUGAACAGACCAGAUUUUGGAAACUUAAUUUUCAGAGCCCCCUGCCCCAACCUGUUUUGUGUUUUUAUCCCCCUUCCAAGGACACGAGGCUGGGGAUUUGGUCGCUACAGCCUCUCCUGGUCUCUUGGUCUUAGAUGAUCAACCAGGGCUUUUCCAGGCCCAGGAUCACCUCUCCAGACUAGACUCUCUGGAGUCUAAAGCGACAAGCCGGUUCCCCACUAAGGCCUCUGGGUCUGGGGCGCUGCAGCAAGAUAAAGUUAUCUUCAGCUCUGUUCCCAGCAGCCCCCACUUCUCAGCUUUGGAGCCCUCCCUGAAUGCAUGAAUCAAAAGUCUUGGGCUCCAGGAAAAGAGAGGACCCGACCCCACCCCCACCCCAAGUCCUUCCCCAGUCCUUUGCCGCCAGCAACCUGGUGUGGGAAGGCAGCACCGCCCUCCACUCCUCCCGCUGGGCUGGUCUUCCAAGCAAAACUCAUCUCUGGGGACAGGUUUAGAGUUUAGCUGAUGUGAGAGUCCUGCCCCUGGGCAGUGUUUGAAUAGGACUGAGAUGACGGAGGACACCAGCACCACCCAGAGCUAAGGAGGACCUGGGAGGUCAUGCAAACCAACCUCUUCUGCUUUCCUGUUUUACAGGUGGGCAAACUGAGGCCCAGAGAGGGAAGAGACCUGACUCAGAUCUGCCACUGGUUAGAGGCCAAGCCUGGACCAGGACCCAGGUGCCUUGCCUUCCAGUACUGUGCUCACUACCCCGCUCUGAUCCUUCUGUGGAAUUAUCUGUAGGAUCAGAAGUUCAGGAGCUCUGAAGUCAGGCUGCCUGAGAUCAAGUACUUCUAGGUGAGACCGGGGACAAAUGAAUUCUCUUUGAGCCCCCGCGGUCUUGUGUGUUAAGUGGGGAAGAGAGUACCAGCCCUGGGUUGUCUUAAGGAAUAAAGGUGGUCCAGGAAAAGUCCUGGCA